AAAUAAUAAAAAGUAUAUACGAACAAACAAACAAUUAGGAUAAAUUUGACAUACGAAAACUAUGAGAAUAAUAAAUGAGUAACAUCGAUAGCGUCGGUUUAGUUUAAUACAAUCAUUUCGUAAAUACUUUUUUUUUCUCUAAGAAUUAUUAUCAUUAUACAUUUGUACCAUUGGCAAGGAUAGAUUGUCUGAAAACCGGAAGUGUAUCUUUAUGAAGAUUUUCCAUGAAGAUAUACGAUACGAAAAUAACUCGAUCUUUAUCACCGUAAAUCGUAAUGUAGCUAGCCACGACGCUGCGGCUUGGUAUAUUAAUACAACAUGGCGACAUUCCGAUUGCUUUUUAGCAUAUCAGUUAACUUUUGUAUUUUUGCGUGAUAUUAAUUAAAUUCAAUGCUGUAUAAUAUAAGGAUCGAUUCAAGUUCGUCUUGACUUAACGGCAUAGAACAUCUAUAUAGUGAAUUUCGAUGUCCAAAAAUUUUAUCAUAACCGGUCGAUAUAUUCGUCAGGAACGGACGAAUGCGUAAUUAUCGAAUUUCUUUCACGAUUAACAUCAAUCAAACAAAACUCAUAAAAUAUGUCACGUUAUCGAGAGUGGGAGAUUUCCUGCAAAGUCUACAUCGGUAAUUUGGGCAGUAGUGCAAGCAAACAUGAAAUUGAAAGUGCAUUCAGUAAAUACGGUCCGCUUAGAAACGUUUGGGUUGCUAGAAAUCCACCUGGAUUUGCAUUUGUGGAGUUUGAAGAUCCACGAGAUGCCGAAGACGCUGUAAGAGGAUUAGAUGGAACACGUUGCUGUGGUACAAAAGUUAAAGUAGAGAUGUCCACUGGGAGAAGGCGACACAGUGGUGGUGGUCGCAGGCCAGGUCCACGAUACUCCAGGUCCAGAUCUCGCAGUCCUCGUAGGAAAUCUCUGGGUCGUUAUCCAAGGUCUUGGUCAAGAAGUCCGCGAAGAUCACCCAUAAACAGAUAUUCCAGAUUCUACCAGCGUCAGCUCCUAGCUCUUCUCGUCUCCCCGCCACUACUACUACUACUACUACUAGUACUACUACUACUACUACUACUACUACUACUACUACUGCUACUACUACUACUACUACUACUACUACUACUACUACUACUACUACUACUACUACUACUACUACUACUACUACUACUACUACUACUCGUCCACCAUCACGUUAAACUUAGCCGACAACGCGACCGCCACUUCUCUUCGACCAAGCAAAGCAAAAUGAUCACCUACACACCAUCCUACCACCACCCAACCAAGUACCACCACCACCACCAACCACCACUACAUGUUCACAGUUGUCUGGUCAAGGUCCCGCAGUCCACGUAGGAGAUCUCUGACCCGCAGUCGCAGCCGAGACCGCCGUUCUCGUUCGGAUUCUCGUGACAGACGUUAGAUGCUAAAAAUGCUCGAAAAAACUGGACCGACUUAAAGCCGGGAUGGACUACACGUGGCGACGAAGUCCCCACACGUUUCUUGCGUUUGCAUUUGUUCAUUCACAAUACGAUGGCGUUAAAUCCAUCGUAUCGUAAAUAAACAAAAGCAAACGUAGGGAUAAUAUGCGCGCGUGAACGCGCGCACGCGCGCAUAUGCAUACACACACACACACACACAACAAAUACAACACACAACAAAUACAACACACAACACACACACAUGCAGUGACAAGUAGCUAGAAAUAAACUAACAAGAAUACAUGCAGUGAUCGACAUUACAUAGAGAUAAACUCACACUAAUGGAAAAUGACUGGGCGUAACACUCAACCCUUGGACGCGUGUUGGCUGAAUUGCUCUAAGUGUAUAAGUGAAAAUGGGACAUAUGAAAAUCGCUGUUAAGGAUAAUUAUAAUAAGAAGUAAUUAAUAAUAAAAGAAUUUAAAAUAAAAUAAAAAAAAAAACAUGAAAAAAAAAUGAAAAAAAAAAAGCGAACUAAAACGAAAACAAAAACAAACAAACAAACAAACAAAGACGAACGUUUUUCAUUGUGCGUUUGAUUCAACCGAUUUCGGGAGAAAAGAGAGAGAGAGAGAGAGAGAGAGAGAGAAAGAAAGAGAGAAAAAGAUAAUAGAUUUCAACGUGAGAAGAUAAUACCGCGCUUUAAUAAAUCAUACCGUAAUAAAAUACGAGGAUGAUAAAAAGAAAAAGAGCUGUUUUAUGUUAUAUUUACUUAUUUUGUACUCCUACGAUGUAAGCCUUAAAAAUAAAAUCUGUAUGAUCUAA